UCCACCAUUAACUUUAAAUGGUAAUUAUCUCUAAAGAUUUUUAAUUAUUGAGAGGAAGAGAUAGACCUAAAACUUCUCCAAACUGAGUCUUAGACAACAUGAUGUCAGGAUCCUUUUCUUCUAGCCUUCCUGGAAGGUUCUGGUUCUGCAAACAAGUACGACACAUCUCCGAGAAACUUAGCAAACGCUUAACGACAAUGAGUCAUUGCCAUAUGAUGGGGGAGCUGAAUGAGACGUUGGAGACCAUUCAGGGAUUUUUACCUUUCCUUUCACAGAUGGGGAAACCGAGUCCCAGGGAUCUUUGCCCCAAAUCGCAUGACUACUGACUGGCCACACUGGAACCAAAUCCAAGGUCUUACAGUUUUCUCCGAAUUUUCUACAUGGCCAGCUCAAAAAGACACUAUGACGCACCCUGCGUUUUCUGGAGUAAAGCGGAGAAUGUGGGGAAGGCAGAAAAGAGGAAAGAGUCAAGUAAAGCUUGCUUCUUGCUGAGAUUUUCCUGGGUGCCCUGCUGGAAUUUCCCUUGGAAGAGUCACCCGAGAACCACAGCAGCAGCAAAGAUACGAAAUGCCAUCUUGUGAAAGAACAUCGAAGACUAGUUAGUGACAUCCCCCCCUGUCAACCACGAUGGAGACUUGAGCCUUGUUACAAACUUUAUUCCUCAAUCAUACGAGCAGGAUCACAGCUUAAAGCACAUGUAGACGGGA